rnacentral:piRNA from 1 species
UGCGCCACUUGUCGCUUUUAA